ACAUGCAGGAAAAUCAAUUGUAUCGAAAAGUUUCUACUUAUCUGAAUUCGCUCCCCUGUGUUGAAGAUUCUGAUUUCACCAACCUAAUAUCCGGCGAUAAGUCCAAUGAAAUUAGCCUUGUUUUGGAUGCAAAUCAAAUGGUUGUUGACAAAUUCCUCGGCGCUAGAGUUUUCUUCAGUAUAUACACUCUGUGUUCGAUGAAAUUGAG
rnacentral:misc_RNA from 1 species